CAGCAGCCACGGGAAUGCGAAGGGGGCUAGCGUUGCUCGGAAUGACUGGGCGUAAAGGGCGCGUAGGCGGAUGGCACAGUCAGAUGUGAAAUUCCCGGGCUUAACCUGGGGGCUGCAUUUGAUACGUGUUGUCUAGAGUGAGGAAGAGGGUCGUGGAAUUCCCAGUGUAGAGGUGAAAUUCGUAGAUAUUGGGAAGAACACCGGUGGCGAAGGCGGCGACCUGGUCCUUGACUGACGCUGAGGCGCGAAAGCGUGGGGAGCAAACAGGAUUAGAUACCCGCGUAGUCCCUGUCUUUUAUAC
rnacentral:rRNA from 1 species